CAAGACGCGACGUCACAUCCAGAUCCGCAUGGUCUACCUGGCGGCAACCGCCACAUCCGGGUCUCUUCCGAGACCCUGGUUGACACCUGUGGGCGGACCACCAUUUGCGUUGUUGCCUUUGGUCUCAGCGGCGUGGUGGACUGGCUCAAGGAACUCCAGGUACUUCCUCCUGUAGUUGAUACAAGACUUUGGUUUUGCUGACACGAAGUGAGAGGUGUUUGUGGCACCAUUCAGCCAGAUCUCCUACCUAAAUGCCAAUUCAUCACCACUUUUGAUUCAACUAACAACAGUGGUGUCAUCAGCAAACAUCAAUACUGUGUUGGAGGUGUACUUAGCCACAACCAAUCAUAAUUGAAAAUUGCAAGUAAGCACUGUCUGAGAAAAUGGACAACGUCAGCCUUCGUGCAGUCAUCCGCUACCUCGGUCUCAAGGGCUUAUCACCCAAAGAGGUCCACAAGGACAUGGUGGCAACGCUAGGGAAAGGUGCCCCUUCUUACAGCAUGGUGAAGAAGUGGGCUGCUGAAUUCAAACGUGGCAGAGAGAGCCUGGAAGACAACCCCCGUCCUGGAAGGUCUGUCACCGUCACCACAAAGGAGACCAUUGACAAGAUCCAUGACAUGAUCUUGAAAGAUCCACGAAUAUCACAGCGGUACAUUGCCACAGAGUUGGGUAUCUCCCAGGAACGCGUCCAUGCAGUUAUCCGAAAUUUCAAAGUCCAGAAGGCUUCAAAGUGAAAACACCACUAUCCAUAAACUGCCAUCAUUGUAGCUUUUGCUUUUAUCUAAGACUAAGUUUCACACUCCCAGCCAACAGCACUCCCUUCCUCUCUCACCUUCCCAGCACAUUGGCCUGAACAAACAGGGCUUCAAUUCUUUUCCCUGUCAUGAAUGAUAUCUGUGUAAGCUGUCUGAAACAAAUUUUAAUGUUAAAAAAUCAUAACUUGCAGGCAGACAAACUCCUUUUCAAUAGUUAGAAUUGGAAUUACACUUUUAACUUUAAUAAUACUCAAGUGGAAAGGUAUUUUCAACUGAAUUGCCCUUUUGUAAAUUGACACACUCAAAAUGGAAAAAUAAACUUUGAAAGACUUCCUCCUACUCCCACCUACUCACUGUAGCAGUUUUAUUUUUCUGCAUAGUGUAAGUGCUCAGAGGGCUUUUCUCCAACAACUCUUGACCAGUUUUUUUGUUGACUGUUGAGCCUAUCUUCCUGUCUUAUACCAGUAUUUUGAAUAUUAAAGUUCUGUGAACUGCCAAAACCACAGGGGUCAAACAUUUCGUACUCUGUCACAAGAGAAAAUCUGCAGAUGCUGGAAAUCCAAGUGACACAUACAAAAUGCUGGAGGAACUUAGCAAGCCAGACAGCAUCUGUGGGAAAAGAGUGCAGCUGAUGUUUCAAGCUGUGACCUGAAAGGCUGGUGAAAAUAGAUGAGUUAGAGUUAAAGGGCGGGGAAGGGGAGAAAGAAACACAAGGUCUGCAUGAAUCUAAGCAACAAUGGUUUUCAUCUGGCUCUCUGUUCUCAGAAGUUUUUAGAAUAACUGUUAAUUGAUUUCUAACAAAGGUGUUUGAACCUUCAGAGGUAUCAUCAAUUACAAGAUGCUUCCAUUUUAAAUAUGUCUCAAAGGAACCAUUUGUCAACUAGAUUAUUGAAGUAAACUAUGUCAUUGUAACUAUUGAAAUAGUAUUGAAUCACCUACUGUUUCCUUUGAUCUUAAGAGUAUAACAACGUGAUGUACUUUUGAGUUUGUGGGACUCUACCAAGAGUGUCUCUGCUUGUUGUGAUGAAUAAAGACUUUCAUAUUCAAAAUCUCUCCAGUUUCUCCAGUGACCUAGUCACAGUCACAACAUUUGGGGGCUCUUCCUGGAUAGAUUAAUAAUCCAAUUACCAGCAACCUCAGCAGUCUAAAGGGAGGGGGAUGAGCAUUUCAGAUCGUGACACCCCACGCUCCCCCAUACUCUGCAAGGAGUCGCAAAGUAUUAAAGAGCAUCAGAGAGCUGGAGAGGUAGAUGUUAAAAGUGUAGUGGUGUGUGUGUGUUUUGUGCAAGGGACCAGCUACCAGACAGCAUUGGAUAGUCUGUCAAGACCAACCCACCAGUUGCAAAAGGUGAUUACAGACUGAGUGUAUACUCGUUUGCUGGGCCACUGUUUAAGUGUAGCUUAGUUAUUAAGAACACUUGACUGGUGUCAAAGUUACUGUUCGGGUGCCAGAGGGUGUGUUCGGGGAACUAUAGUAGUCCAUUGUUUGUAAGUGUGUGUUUGACUGGGUGUGGAAAAACCUUCGAAUUAAAACCCAAGACAAGUGAUAGUGCUGAAAUAUUUAACUUUCUACAUAAGAGGGACACAGAAACAUUGUGGGCUCAAUUAUGAAGAGGAGAGAGCUCACAGAAUAUAUACCCCAUAAGACUGAGGAGGUUGAAUAAGGAAUAGAUAAUGCUCUGCAGAUUAAGACCUCGAGCCCAGAAUAUUGUCAGUGGUGAAAAUGCCAAUCAAAGAGGAAGGGCGAUAAAGCAGCAGUUAUUCUAUGUCAUGUAUAUUUGCAAGAGAGAACAAAGAGCCUGGAAUCACAUGUUUAUAAAUAGCAGAGCUACAGAAGAAAAGGGAUGAAGAGAAAGAACAGUGAGACAGUGUACAAGCAAAGCAGAACAGAGAGACACGGGUGAGAAACAGAUAGAACUUACAACAAUACAAGAAUCAAUUUGUCAAGGAACUGUGCAGAUUGAGUGAAUAAUGGAAUAGCAGGUGGGUGCUAACGAAGUCCUGACGAAGGGUCUCGGUCCAAAACGUCGACAGUGCUUCUCCCUAUAGAUGCUGCCUGGCCUGCUGUGUUCCACCAGCAUUUUCUGUGUGUUGUUUGAAUCUACAGCAUCUUCAGAUUUCUUCGUGUUUGCCCAAUAUUACAUGUAUUUGUUGGAAAAAGUAUGUAAACCUUUGCUUUCAGUAACUGGUGUGACCCCCUUGUCCCUCAAUGGUUGCAAACUGUCCAGGCCUGAGGCAGCAAAACAGUCCCAAACCAUGAUGCUCUUUCCACCCUGCUUCACAGUUGAGAUGAGAUUUUGGUGUUGGUGUGCAGUGCCCUUUUUCCUCCAGACAUAGCAAUGUGCAUUUCUGCCAAGAGCAUUGUAGAACAUCCAGGUGGUCUUUUGCAUUUUUUUUGGAGAGCAGUGGUGUCCUUCCAUGAACACUAUUCUUGUUCAGUGUUUUUCUUACAGUGCACUCAUGAACAGAGACUUCAGCAAGUUCCAGACUUUUCUGCAGGUCUUUUGCUGUUACCCUUGGUUUUCUUUCACCUCCUUCGGCACUGCACAUUGUGCUCUUGGUAUGUUCUUUGCAGGACACCCACUCCUAAGGAAAGUAGCAACAGCACUGCAUUUCCUCCAUUUGUAGACAAUUUCUCUUACUGUGGACUGAUGAACACUCAGGACUUUUAAGAAAUGUUUUUGUAGCCUUUUCCAACUUCAUGAAUCUCUACAAUUGUUGUUCCAAGGUCCUCUGAAAGUUGUUUUGGUCGAGGCAUGGUGCACAUAAACAGAUCCUUCUUGAGAAGAGCAAGCUCUGUCAGUAAACUGACUAUGUGUGUCUUUUUAAGGGCAGGGCAUCUCUACAGUCUGCAUCUGCAAUCUCAUCUCACUGUUUGGAAAACCUGACUGCAAAUAGCUUUUGUAGAAGGCAUUACUUCAAAGGUUCACAUACUUUUUCCAGCAAAUACAUGUAAUAUUGGAUCAUUUUUCUCCAUAAACAAAUGACCAAGUAUAAUGUUUUUGUGUUAUUUAUUUAAUUUGGUUGUCUUUAUCUAGUUUUAGGACCUGCAUGAAGAUCUGAUCAUAUUUUAGGCCAUAGUAAUGCAGAAAUAGAGAAAAUUCUACAGGUUUCACAAACAUUCCGGCACUAGUGUACAUGUGUUGGUUAAGGCUAAACGUCUGAGAAAUAUGUAUGACAGUAUGAUCCCAGGGCUACAGGAUGGAACAUGGGCAACUAAUGGGAAUGCCAGUAAUGAGGAGAGGUAUUGGAACUUUAAAGAAGAAAUGAGGUAGCAACUUGGAAGAGAAGAGAGUAACUGGUAAAUGAUAAUGUUAGUUGUUAACCUGCCAUGGACUUUGCAGAAUGGAAAUACUGGCUCGAUGAGGACUACUCAGGGCUGGGCAGUCCAGGGAAUGAUGAUCCAGUCAUCAUAUGUGUUUUAAGUUUGUGUCUAUUUAUUUCUUUGUUUCAGAAUUGAUAUUGGAGAGAGAGACCCAAUUUCUGCGGUGGUCAUGGGGAAUCCAGGUUAAGAUGAUGGAAUUGGCUGGAACGUCACC